rnacentral:rRNA from 1 species
GAUGAACGCUGGCGGCGUGCCUAAUACAUGCCAGUCGAGCGAACAGACGGGGAGCUUGCUCCUCUGACGUUAGCGGCGGACGGGUGAGUAACACGUGGAUAACCUACCUAUAAGACUGGGAUAACUUCGGGAAACCGGAGCUAAUACCGGAUAAUAUAUUGAACCGCAUGGUUCAAUAGUGAAAGACGGUUUUGCUGUCACUUAUAGAUGGAUCCGCGCCGCAUUAGCUAGUUGGUAAGGUAACGGCUUACCAAGGCAACGAUGCGUAGCCGACCUGAGAGGGUGAUCGGCCACACUGGAACUGAGACACGGUCCAGACUCCUACGGGAGGCAGCAGUAGGGAAUCUUCCGCAAUGGGCGAAAGCCUGACGGAGCAACGCCGCGUGAGUGAUGAAGGUCUUCGGAUCGUAAAACUCUGUUAUUAGGGAAGAACAAAUGUGUAAGUAACUAUGCACGUCUUGACGGUACCUAAUCAGAAAGCCACGGCUAACUACGU